UUCAUUUUUAUUCUAAUCUUGCUUUUCUUAUUUUUUUUCCCAAAUUUCUUUUUAUUUCUUAUUUGCGUUUUUAAAUUCUCGUACUUUUUUUUUUCAAUUUCUCUUUUGGUUUUCAUUUUUAUUUUGCAAUAACUUCUCUUUUUUAAUUUUUUGUCUUUGACUUUUUCUAUUGUUUUUCUUGUUAUUUCUUAUAUGUUUUUCAAUUUUUGUUAUUUUUAAAACUAAUUUUUUUAUUUGUCAUUCUUUUUCACUUUCUAAAUUUUUAUUCAAUUUUUGUAUUUUUGAUUAAUUAUUUUUUAUUUUCUUACUUUUUAUAUUUUUAUUGUAUUUUUGUUUAUUUUUUAUUUUUUUAUUUUUUUGUUUUACUUUAAUAUUCUUUUCUUAUUUUAUUUUUAUUUCUUUCUUUAUUUAAAUUUUCAUAAAUCUUUUGUCUUUUCAUUUUUAUUAUUUUCUUAAUUUUUUCACAAAUUUCUUUUUAUUUCUUAUUUUCAUUUUCAAAUUCUUAUAGUUUUUUUGUUGCAUUUUCUUCUUUGGUUUUCAUUUUUAUUUUGCAUUAACUUUUCUCUUUUUUAAUCUUUUGUCUUUGAUUUUUUAUAUUGUUUUCUUAAUAUUUCUUAUAUGUUUUUCGAUUUUUUGUAUUUUUUAAAAUAUUUUUUUUCUAUUUUGUCAUUUCCUUUCAUUUUUGAAAUUUUUAUUCAAAUUUUGUCUUUUUUUAUUUUUGUUUUUGAUUCUUAUUUUUAUUUUCUUACUUUUAUAUUUUUUUCUUAUUUUUUAAUUUUUAUUUUCUUCUUUAUUUAUAUUUUCAUAAAUUUUUAUAAUGUUUUUUGAUUUUUUAUCUUUUAUCUUUUCUUUUUUUAUUUAUCGUUGUUGGUUAUUUCUAUUGUAUUUUUAAUUUUCCAUUAACUCCUUUUCCUUUUAAAUUUUUCCCUUUUUUUACUUGUUUUUUCAUGUGCUUUCAUAUUUUUUUUUUGUUUUCACUUUUUUCUUUGUUUUAAAAUUUUCUAUAAAACUUUUUUUCUUUUGUUUUAUUUCAUAUUUUUGCCUCUUCAUUUUUUAUUUUUUCUUGUUUUUCGAAUUUUUUUCACAAAAUUCUUUUAUUUCUUGUUUCCAUUUUUUUUUUUUUGCACUUCCUUGUUUUGUUUUUAUUUUUAUUUUGUUUUAACUUUUCCCUCUGUUAAUUUUUGUAUCUUUGAUUUUUUUUAUUUUUUUCUUAUUACAUUAUUUUUGCUUGUAUUUUCUAAAUUAAAUUUUUUCUACUUUGUCAUCCCUUUUCAUUUUUUAACUUCUUUUAAUUUUUUAUCUCUGAUUUUUAUAUCUUUAUAUCUUAUUAUUUGUUAUAUUUUUAUUUUUUGUUUGUAUUUUAUAAACUAAAUUUGUUUUCUAUUUUGUCAUUUUUUCUUCAUUUUUGAAAUUUUUAUUAGCUUUUGUAUUUUACAAUUUUUUCUUUUGACUCGUUAAUUUUUCAUUUCCUCACUUUUUUAUUUUUUCUAUUUUGUGCUCUUUUUAAUUUUUUUUUUCUUUUUUAAUGCUUAUUUUAUCUUUUUUCCUUUCGCUUUAAUAUUUUCUCUUUUUUUUCCUUUUAUUUUUUAUUUUUAUUUUUUUUUUUUUAUAAAAUUUUAUAAUGUUAUGGACAUUAAAACAUUGUUGAAUGAGACUUUGAUUUCAUUAGAAAUUGAAGAUGUUAUGUGCAUGUAUACUAAUUAGAUAUCUAAUUAAAAUCAUCUUGUAUUUUAUCUUGAAAUUUAUUUUUAUUUAUCGUGUAAUUUAUCUAAUUAACAAAAUUAUAUUGUAUAAUAUUUAUCUUUUAUUUAAUAAAAUUUGGAUUAUUUUAUUUAUUAUUUUGGAUUGUAUAAUAUUUAUCUUUUAUUUGAUACAAUUUGUUAAGAGAUAAUAAUUAUCUUUGUUAUUUUCUUUUGGAAUUUUAUUGGCUUAUAUAUAAUAACACUAGUUUGGAAUUGUUAUAUCUAUCGUGUAUUUAUAUUUUUACAUUUUUAACGAUUUAAAAAUUAAAAAUUUUAAAUUUAAAUCAAUAAAUUCAAAUCAAAAUAUUUUGCAUCUAAACUUUCAAAUUCAAAUUAAGUUUUAAAACAUAAAUUAAAGAUUGAACUUUGUAGAAUUUUUUUAUUUCUUUAUUUAUUUCCUUUUUUAAAGCUUUUUGUUUUUUUUUACUUUUUAUACAUUUUCCUAAUUAUUCAUUUAUUAUAUUUUUGUUAUAUAUCUUUUUCUUUUUUUUUUUUUUUUUUUACAAAAAACCUUCUUUCUUAUCUUCAUUAUAUUAUUCUUUCACUACUUAUUUUCUUUUUUACUUUGAUUUUUUUGUUGCUCUAAUCUAAUUGGUCAUUUACAUUAUUUUCUAUUAUUUUUUUCUUUUUGUACUCUUACUUUUAUCUUUUUUUUUUUUUUUUCUUUUUUUUUCUUAAGGUUUUUCUUCUUUUUAAUUUGUGUUUUUUAUCCACACUUCUUUCUUUUGUUUUUAUUUUUUAUUAACUUUUUUCUUUUUUUAAUUUUUUAUCAUUGAUUUUUUUAUAUCUUUAUUUCUUAUUAUUUGUUAUAUUUUUAUUUUUCGUUUGUAUUUUAUAAACUAAAAUUUUUUCUAUUGUCUUUUUCUUUUCUUUUUUCAUUUUUAUUAGUUUUUUAUUUUUUUUUAAUUUUCUUACUUUUUUAAUUGCGUUUUUGUUUAUUUUUAAUUUUUCUCUUUUUUAGUACUUAUUUUAUCUUUUUCCUUUUGCUUUACUAAUCUUUUAUUUUUUAUUGUUAAUUUUUGUUAUUUUUUAUAAAAAUUUUAUAAUGUUAUGGAUAUUUACUUUUAUUUUUUAAUCUUUUCUUCUUUUGGUUUGUUUCAUUUUUUUUGCUAUUAUCUAUUCUAUUUUUAUAAUUUUUCAUUAAUUCCUUUUUUUCUUUUAAUUUAUUUGUUCAUUUGCUUUCAUUCUUUUUGUUUUAAUUAUUUUUAUAUAUUUUGUAUUUUCAUUUUUUAUUGUUUUCUUGCUUUUUCUUAUAUCUUUUUGUUCACACUUUUUUUUAUUCCUUCUUUACAAUUUUAAAAUCUUAGACUUUUGUUUUUUUGUGAACUUCCUUUUGAUUUUAUUUAUAUUUUGUAUUGACUUUUAUUUUACUUUUUGUCUUUGAUUUUUUAUGUCUUUUUUUCUACAUUUGUUUUUUUUUUUUGUUUUUCUUUGUAUAUUCUAAACGAAAAUUUUUUUCUAUUUUAUUUGAAAUUUUUAUUCAUUUUAUCGUUUUAUAUUUUUUUAUUCUCUAAUUUUUUAUUUUCUUACUUUUUUACUUUUUGUUUUUGUUUAUUUUUAAUUGUUAUUUUUUUAGUAUUUUAUUUUAUUUUUUCAUUUAUAUUAAAUUUUUUUUCAAUUUUUGUAUUUUUGAUUCAUUAUUUUUUAUUAUCUUACCUUUUAUAUUUUUAUUGUAUUUUUGUUUCUUUUAUUUUUUUUGUUUUACUUUAAUAUUGUUUUCUUAUUUUAUUUUUAUUUUUUAUUUCUUUCUUUAUUUAAAUUUUCAUAAAUUUUUAGAAUGUUUUGGAUUUUUUAUUUUUCGUAAAUCUUUUGUCUUUUCAUUUUUAUUCUUUUCUUAAAUUUUUUCACAAAUUUCUUUUUAUUUCUUAUUUUCAUUUUCAAAUUCUUAUAGUUUCUUUUGUUGCAUUUUCUUCUUUGGUUUUCAUUUUUAUUUUGAAUUACCUUUUCUCUCUUUUAAUUUUUUGUCUUUGAUUUUUUAUAUUGUUUUCUUAUUAUUUCUUAUAUGUUUUUCAAUUUUUUGUAUUUUUAAAAUAUUUUUUCUAUUUUGUCAUUUCCUUUCAUUUUUGAAAUUUUUAUUCAUUUUUGUCUUUUUUAUUCAUUAUUUUUUAUUUUCUUACUUUUUAUAUUUUUUAUUGUAUUUUUGUUUAUUUUAUAUUUUUGUUUGCUUAAUAUUUUUUUCUUAUUUUUAUUUUUUAUUUCUUUCUUUAUUUAUAUUUCAUUAAUUUUUAUAAUGUUUUGGAUUUUUUUAUUUUUCUAUCUUUUUUCUUUCUUUUUUAUUUAUCAUUGUUGGUUAUUUUCUAUUGUAUUUUUAUAAAUUUUCCAUUAACUCCUUUUCCUUUUUUUACAUAUUUUUUUUUUGUUUUCACUUUUUUCUUUGUUUUAAAAUUUUCUAUAAAACUUUUUUUCUUUUUGUUUUAUUUCAUAUUUUUGCCUCUUCAUUUUUUUAUUUUUUCUUGUUUUUCUAAUUUUUUCACAAAUUCUUUUUAUUUCUUGUUUCCAUUUUUUUUUACACUUCCUUAUUUUGUUUUUUUUGUUUAACUUUUCCCUCUGUUAAUUUUGUAUCUUGAUUUUUUUUAUUUUUUUCUUAUUACAUUAUUUUUGCUUGUAUUUUCUAAAUUAAUUUUUUUCUACUUUCUCAUCCCUUUUCAUUUUUGAACUUCUUUUAAUUUUUUAUCUUUGAUUUUUUAUAUCUUAUAUCUUAUUAUUGUUAUAUUUUUUAUUUUUGUUUGUAUUUUGUAAACUUAAUUUUUUUCAUUUUUAUUAGUUUUGUAUUUUUUUUUAAAAUUUUUUGACUCAUUUUUCUUUCCUUACUUCUUUAUUUUUUUAUUUUCUUUUUUUUAUUACUUAUUUUAUCUUUUUCCUUUUGCUUUAAUACUUUCUCUUAUUUUUUUCCCUUUUACUUUUUUUGUUAAUUUUUGUUAUUUUUUAUAAAAAUUUUAUAAUGUUAUGGAUAUUUACUUUAUAUUUUAAUCUUUUUUCUUUUGGUUUGUCUCAUUUUUGCUGUCAUUUUUAUAUUUUUGGUAUUUUCUAUUCUAUUUUUAUAAUUCUUCAGUAAUUCUUUUUUUCUUUUUCUUUUAACUUAUUUGUUCAUUUGCUUUCUCUUUUUUGUUUUAAUUUUUUUAUAUUUUUGUAUUUAAUUUUUAUUUUUCUUGCUUUUUCUUAUAUCUUUUUGUUCACAUUUUUUUUUAUUUCUUCUUUACAAUUUUAAAAUCUCAAGACUUCUCUUUUUGUGUACUUCCUUUUGCUUUUAUUUAUAUUUUGUAUUGACUUUUUAUUUUAUUUUUUAUCUUUGAUUAUUUGUCUUUUUUUUAUUUUGUUAUAUUUUUUUUGUUUCUCUUUGUAUAUUCUAAACUAAAAGUUUUUUCUAUUUUAUAUUUCAAAUUUUUCUUCACUUCGUCUUUUUAUAUUUUUUUAUUAGCUAAUUUUUUAUUUUCUUCCUUUUUUAUUUUUGUUUAUUUUUUUCUUUUAUAUUAAUAUUUUUAUUUUUAUUUUUUCAUUUUCUUAUUUUGUCUUUUUUUUUUCCUAUUUUUUGUUCUAUUUUAUAACUUUUCAAAAACUUUUUUCCAUCAAAAUUUUCUUUCUUUUUGCUUUUUUUUUUUUCACAUGCUUUCAUUUUUAUUUUAUUUCAUUGUUUUAAUAUUUUUUACUUUCUUGUUUUCUUUUUUAUUUCAAAUCUUUUGUCUUUUCAUUUUAUUCUAUUCUUGCUUUUCUUUUUUUUUUUCCCAAAUUUCUUUUUAUUUCUUAUUUGCGUUUUUAAAUUCUCGUACUUUUUUUUUUCAAUUUCUCCUUUGGUUUUCAUUUUUAUUUUGCAAUAACUUCUCUUUUUUUAAUUUUUUGUCUUUGACUUUUUCUAUUGUUUUCUUGUUAUUUCUUAUAUGUUUUUCAAUUUUUUGUAUUUUUAAAACUAAUUUUUUUUAUUUUGUCAUUCUUUUUCACUUUCUAAAUUUUUAUUCAAUUUUUGUAUUUUUGAUUAAUUAUUUUUUAUUUUCUUACUUUUUAUAUUUUUAUUGUAUUUUUGUUUAUUUUUUAUUUUUUAUUUUUUU
rnacentral:lncRNA from 1 species